rnacentral:rRNA from 1 species
UACGUAGGUGGCAAGCGUUGUCCGGAUUUACUGGGCGUAAAGAGCGCGCAGGCGGUCGUGCAAGUCGCGUGUGAAAGCCCCCGGCUCAACUGGGGAGGGUCACGCGAUACUGCUCGACUCGAAGGCAGGAGAGGGAAGUGGAAUUCCCGGUGUAGUGGUGAAAUUCGUAGAUAUUCGCAAGAACACCAGUGGCGAAGGCGGCCAACUGGUCCGGUUCUGACGCUGAGGCGCGAAAGCGUGGGGAGCAAACAGG